rnacentral:rRNA from 1 species
UACGUAGGGUCCGAGCGUUGUCCGGAAUUACUGGGCGUAAAGAGCUCGUAGGUGGUUUGUCGCGUUGUUCGUGAAAACUCACAGCUCAACUGUGGCGUGCGGUGAUACGGGCGACUGAGUACUGCAGGGGAGACUGGAAUUCCUGGUGUAGCGGUGGAAAUGCGCAGAUAUCAGGAGGAACACCGGUGGCGAAGGCGGGUCUCGUGGGCAGUAACUGACGCUGAGGAGCGAAAGCGUGGGGAGCGAACAGG